rnacentral:rRNA from 1 species
UCUUUGACACGGACUACCAGUGCACUGUGGUAUGCUCUCAAAGAGUCGAGUUGUUUGGGAAUGCAGCUCAAAAUGGGUGGUAAAUUCCAUCUAAAGCUAAAUAUUGGCGAGAGACCGAUAGCGAACAAGUACCGUGAGGGAAAGAUGAAAAGAACUUUGGAAAGAGAGUUAAACAGUACGUGAAAUUGCUGAAAGGGAAACGCUUGAAGUCAGUCGCGUUGGCCAGGGAUCAGCCUUGCUUUUGCAUGGUGUACUUUCUGGUUGACGGGUCAGCAUCAAUUUUGACCACUGGAAAAAGGCCUGGGGAAUGUGGCAGCUUCGGCUGUGUUAUAGCCCCUAGUUGUAUACAGUGGUUGGGAUUGAGGAACUCAGCACGCCGCAAGGCCGGGUUUCGACCACGUUCGUGCUUAGGAUGCUGGCAUAAUGGCUUUAAGCGACCCGUCUUGAAACACGGACCAAGGAGUCUAACAUGCCUGCGAGUAUUUGGGUGGAAAACCCAAGUGCGUAAUGAAAGUGAAAGUUGAGAUCCCUGUCGUGGGGAGCAUCGACGCCCGGACCAGAACUUUUGGGACGGAUCCGCGGUGGAGCAUGUAUGUUGGGACCCGAAAGAUGGUGAACUAUGCCUGAAUAGGGUGAAGCCAGAGGAAACUCUGGUGGAGGCUCGUAGCGAUUCUGACGUGCAAAUCGAUCGUCAAAUUUGGGUAU